rnacentral:piRNA from 1 species
UCAGCCGAGCCGUUUUUGAUG